AUUGAACGCUGGCGGCAGGCCUAACACAUGCAAGUCGAACGAGUGGCGGACGGGUGAGUAAUGUCUGGGAAACUGCCUGAUGGAGGGGGAUAACUACUGGAAACGGUCGCUUAUACCGCAUACCAUCAGAUGUGCCCAGAUGGGAUUAGCUGGUUGGGGGGGUAACGGCUCACCAAGGCGAGGAUCCCUAGCUGGUCUGAGAGGAUGACCAGCCAAAGUGGAACGGAGACACGGUCCAGACUCCUACGGGAGGCAGAAGUGGGGAAUAUUGCACAAUGGGCGCAAGCCUGAUGCAGCCAUGCCGCGGGUAUGAAGAAGGCCUUCGGGUUGUAAAGUACUUUCAGCGGGGAGGCGUUACCCGCAGAAGAAGCACCGGCUAACUCCGUGCCAGCAGCCGCGGUAAUUC
rnacentral:rRNA from 1 species